ACGGAGGGUCCAAGCGUUAUCCGGAUUUAUUGGGUUUAAAGGGUGCGUAGGCGGGAAAUUAAGUCAGUGGUGAAAGCCCACAGCUCAACUGUGGAACUGCCAUUGAAACUGAUUUUCUUGAAUAUGAUUGAAGUGGGCGGAAUAUGACAUGUAGCGGUGAAAUGCUUAGAUAUGUCAUAGAACACCGAUAGCGAAGGCAGCUCACUAAGUCAUCAUUGACGCUGAGGCACGAAAGCGUGGGGAGCGAACAGG
rnacentral:rRNA from 1 species